CACAGGGGAGAGAGGACGCUCGUAAAGGGAAGUCCCACUGCAACGAGCACCUCCUGCAUUGGCCGCAAGGCACUCCAAACCCUCUACACCAGGCAUUUCGUUUACAGGAGGAAACGGGGACCCCAGAGGGGCUGUCUUGCCUGGGUUCCCAAAGCUCGUUUGAGCCAGGCCACACUCUAGGCACCACUCUGAACAAGUCCAAACGCCCCUUAUGCAUUCUGGCCAACCGUCCCAACAACGUGGUGUGUUUUGGACAUAAAAGGAUAAACUCGGCAGGCAGCAUGCUGUAGAGAACAGCUCCCUUCCUGACCCGCCCCGGCUGGUCUUGGACAAGUCACUCUAGCUCUCCAAGCCAGGUCCCCCAUGCACAGGGUGUGGGGGCUAAUUAGUGGUGAUCCACAGAAGGUCCCCUAGUCCUAAAGUCAGGGCUACACGUGACACAUGCAUGCUGGAUUGUAAAAGCACACUCAGAAAAUCUCGGAAUGAAGUUGCUUGAAAUCCACGCAGCGAAGGUUUUUUUGCUCAUUCCAGAAAUUUCUAUCAAGUGCCUACUAUGGUCACAGCAUGGAGCCAGGAGACUCAGGAUGAAGAAGAUGUCCAACGCAAGCAGACGCUGCCACCAGAGAGCUGACCAACUAGUUAAAGAAAGUAAGGGGAGACACCUGUCCUGGGGACAAAUCCACAGAGAGGGAUGCUGACAUCUGAUUGGUACUGUGCCCCUCAUGGCGUCAGCCGUGAAGGCUGUCCACACGGCGAGUUUAACUCUCAGCACGGAAAUGUUGCUGGUGGUAUAAUAUUCUGAAAAGGACUCAAAGUGAAUGACCCAUGGAUACUCUCUGAAAGAAAGUGAAAUAGCAAAAUCCCGAAGACCUGUGAGGAGCCAGCCCACAGGCCGUGUAGUAGGAACCUGUAAAACAAAUGCCGAAUGUAGUAGAAGGAAACAGAUGGCUGAAGACCCAACGUGAGUGUUGGGUCAACAGAUGCACACAGGACAAACCCACCUGUUAACGGAAAGUGCUUCCAAUGGGUCACAAAGCAAAACUCCUUAUAUGCUACACACAAAAAAGGCACGUUUGCGGUGGCAGGAAGGGAGAUGAUCAUUGUAAUACCGGGAAAGGGAUUUCGGAGCAAAAAGCACUGGAUGAGAGUACUCUACAAUGAUGAAGGGUACAGUUCACUCACUGGUCCAACUUGCCAGGAAAAAACGAAAAACCUACACGGACCUAAUUUCUUUCUUGCAGGUAGAAUCCCCCCACCCCCCACCCGCUGCUUUUAAUAAUUCAAUUUCUUUAGUCAUUAUAAUCUACUUGGGUUUUCUAUUUCUUGAGUUAUUUUAAGUUUCCAAAUUUGAAAAUGUACUCGUACAUGAAUAAAUGACUUUCUAGGAAAAUAAGAAUUACCAAAACUGACCCCCUUAGGGGACAGAAAAUCCAAAUAGGUAAAAUCACAAACUUGGAAAGCUGUCGAGGAACAACUGUGCCUGCAAAAAAAGAACCAGUGAAACUGGCCCAGCCUGGAAGGAACUGCCACCCCAGGGCUGUGGCCACUGCUCCACAGAAAGGGCCAACACUUCCAUACUCUGCAUACAGCCAGCAUUCUAGUACCAAGAAACCUGAUAAUGACAGCGCGAUGAAUGACAGUUACAGAUCUGUAUCAAACCUAAGACCUGAAUAAAACAUUAACUAAUAGAAUCCACAGCAAUACUCUGCAAACAAGAGGAAUCCAUUUAGGGUAUCAGUAUAAUUCACAUUAUUAUAACAAACACAUGGCAAUUUCCAUGGAUGCGGAAACAAAAUUUGAUGAAGUAUAACACUUAUUCCUAAUGAAAAGUCUUUAAAAAAUGGUGAUCUAUUUUUACUACUAUUAUUUCAUUGUUUUUAAAAAUUAGAUAUAACUGAAAGAAAAUGAGAGGUAGAUAAAUUUAUCACUAGAGAUGACAAUCCAAGGUAGUUCAGAAUCAAAUAUAAAUUAAUGUCAACAUUAAUUGCUGUCUUAGGUACAAACAACCACUAGUUUUAAAAGUGUAACCGAAGACCCCACUUGUAAUAGCAAUUAAAGGAAAAAUACCGUAUAAUACCUUUCUCAUCUUAGAGUUCUACCAUGUACAUUACACCAAAAUAAAUUAUAGACGGCUCAAAGAGUUAAACAAAAAGUUAAACGUAAUUAAACUCUAAAUAUUCAGAAUAGGGAAGGCCUUUCUAAACAUAAAAAACAAAACAAAACAAAAAAACCCAGAAGUCAAAAAGGAAAAUAUGGGUAACUAACUAUAUAAAACUGUUUAGUUUUUUUCCACAUCAGGGGGAAAAAAAAUCAUAAGGCAAAUGAUAAACUGGAGAAAAUGUUGGCAACAGAACGGACUGGCUAACUUCUUUUAAAAAAAAUUCAUUGAAAUCGAUAGUAAGGACUGACAAUCCAAUAUUAAAAAGAGAGUAAAGAUAAGAAAAAACAGUUCACAGAAAAAGAAAUGCUAAGGGCUUUUAAACAUGUGUAAGAUGUUCAAGUUCAUUGGUAAUGAGAAAUUACGAAAUAAACUAUAAUGCAAAACAACACUUGCCACCUGUCUACCCAGCAAAGAUAAAUUUGGUAGAACUCUCAGGUCCUUUCAUUGACAUGAAAAAUGUGAAUGAGGGGUUGAGAGACAGGAAGAAGGGGACAGUUCAGCAUAUGUUCAAAAGAAGUCCCAGAAGGAAAAAAUAGAGUAUGGCAAAGAAGCAAUAUUCAAAUAGUUAACUGUUUCCACAAUUGAUGAAAGAGAUGCAUACUCACACUCAAUGACCACUAAUCAGAAUAAAUAGAAAUCUGUACCUAAGAGUAUCCUAAAAAGUGGGAAAAUGUGAAAGUCAAAAGAAGUCGUAAAAGCAACCUAAGGAAAAAAGACAUUCCCUAUUAAGGAACAAUAAUUAGACCCAGGAAAAAUUAGAAACAACAUUUAAGUUGUCAUGAAUCUGGAUGGCACAAUUAACUAGUUCCAUCGCUCGAGUGCUAGUUAAAGUAAUUAUGCUGCAUCCUACAAUGGGAGCCCGAGCAGCCAUGAGAGACUGAGGCAGAUCCGCACAUACUGAUAGGCAGUGUCACCGAGACACUGCUGUAAGAGCAGGCCUAGGGGCCAGCCGGGUGACGGGGGGUGUACCCCCCUGCAGGACGCUGACCAGCAACUGCAGCUGAGGAAGAUGACAAGGCUUCUUGGGAAGAGAAGCCCCAGAAGUCCAGCUCUUCCCUAUACAUGUCUUUGUGCUUUUGAAUUCAGUUUCCAAUGUGUAGGUUACCUGUUUAAGUAAAACUGAAAAAAAUUCAAGAUAAAAUUCUGGAAGGAUAUACCGUGUUUCCGCGAAAAUAAGACCAGGUCUUAUAUUAAUUUUUGCUCCGAAAGAUGCAUUAGGGCUUAUGUUCAGGGGAUGGCAACCUGAAAAACCAUGCUAGGGCUUGUUUUCUGGUUAGGUCUCAUUUUUGGGGAAACACGGUACUUGAAUUGGUAACAGCAGUUACCUUGGGGAAGAAUAGCAAAUGAAGAAUGAGGGGAAUACAGGCAGCUUUUACCUUUUAUUCUAGAUACUGCCGUGUUUUUUAAGGAACAAGGACUCACUCCUGAUCGGGAGGGGUACCUGGAGGCUCCAGAGGCACUGGCCACGCUCUCUCCUGAGCCGGGCGGUGCAUGCACAGGUGCUCUGUUACUCUUUAAACUGUACCCCAUACCUCACAGACACUCCCAGGCACGUGCUCUGUGUUAAAGAAAACAGGAUUUUAGAAAUAUGUCGUCUUCGAGCACAAAGGAAGGAUCCAUGAAUUCUUCCCGGGAGACCAGGUAAGUAGCCAGGGAACCGUAUUAAUGAAGGGCUCUAUCACUAUCGCGUGCUGUCCAAGCCCUCGUUUCCCACGAGGGAGCGAGGACUGGAGAGGUGCAGAGAGAACUUGGCGAACCAAGGUCUUCUGUCAGUGCACAGAGACACUUCUCUUUCGGCAUCUGAGGGUAAGAGAAGGGAGAGCAGGUAUUGAUGCUGUAAAAGCAACUCUGCCUGUAGCUACGACGGCUGCACUGCUGACUGACGGGAACUUGAAACGGACGGGGGGAAAAGAAAAUUUUAGCCCAAGUACUUUUCAGCACAUAUUUGGUUAAUAAGGGUCUAUUCUGCUGUGGUGAUUUUCAUAAAGAGCUCCUCUGUUGAAUAUUUAUACUCUAUAAUUUACAGUUUGGCUGUUAAGGAGACAAAGGCAAACACAAAUUUGGUCCAGAAGUUCAAAGUUUGCCAUCUGUUUUCCUAUUGUAUUUAGACAUCAGCAUGGAUGGCUCCAAACAAAAUAAACAAAUAUACCAAAAGAUGCAGCAUUUGUGUAUUUUGUACAACCAAGGAAAACAAAAAUGGGACAAAAACAGACUCGAACUUGUCCCCACAGGAAAAAGGAAAAAAGCAUUUAUAUGGCAUCUCCUUCGAGAGACAUCACUCCGGAUUCUGGUCGACAGACAGAAACUGCAAACACCAGUGUGUGACGUCCACAUGAGCCAUGCGGAUUCGCAUUAAGGACCUGGUGUCGGCCUGGAACGUCUGACAGCGUGCGGCACCA